CACUUUUACAACCACGUCGGCUCGAUGUUCAGCCGGGCUCAGCUGGCGGAAAUCCAGGCCACCACGUGGUCCUCCGUGCUGUGCCACACGUUCCCGGCGCUGCGUACCGUGCCGCGUAACGGGUUCCUCCGCUCCGGAGCACCGGUGCCCUGUUCGCGUGUAGCCUCGUUGAAGAUGAGGAGCUGGCGGAGCGUGCUGCCGCGCCGCUGACGGCUCCGCCCAGCGGGAGUCAGCUGAGCCUGGCCGGCACCGUGCGGGGCGGACCGCCCCGGCGCCGGCCGGCCCAGCUCACCGGAAGCCACGCUCGGGACGGGGCGCAGGUACUCCCAGUGACGCGCAGCCGGUCCGCUGGCCAGGUGGCCACGCAGCUGUCAGGAAUGGACAUGUUCUUCGCGGAUGCGUAACCAGGCAGAAUCACCCUACCUUAUUCUAAAACGAACAUUGUUUUUUCAAGUCAUCCAUUUCUCGUGAAAUAGAUUACCAAGCCCCGGAAUAUU